rnacentral:lncRNA from 1 species
GCACUCUGGACUCCUACGGACCAAGAUGAUCAACUCUGAGGAAGAAAGGCAAUGAGGACGUUGCACAAGACAGUCCCUGAUACCCAGAGUUUACUGCCUAAGAGAGGAUACAUCCUUCAAACCAAUAAUCUGCUAAUAGCAAGAUCCAAUAGCUUCAUGGAUAUUGAAAGAAACUGAGAAUCAAAUUUGCAUACUUCUGAGUCACUUGGAAACAAAAAACAAGUACAGUCUUAGAUUCUGAGGGAACAAAAAUUAAAAAUCACAUUAGGAAGAGAAUUCCUAAUGUAGGAACUCAUCCUGGAAGAUUCUUCAGCAAAAGUACAGACAAUAAUAAUAAUACUCCAUGAAGUUACCAUCGAUAUUGAAUGAAUUAAUGAAUGUAAAAACCUCAAAACCCUGCCUGGCCCAGAGCUUUGGAAUGGGUUUGGAUCUACCACUCAACUGCUUUAUGACUUCAGACCAGUUAUUUAAAUUCCCUGAAGCUCAGUUUCCACAUCUUUGAGUUUUUAUUAAUGACCUGCCGACAUCAUACAGUUCAUGAAAUGCUCUGGAUGUGUACAUGCUGAUGAUACGACCUCAGACCCAGCAAGAGCUCAGUGCAGCCCGGAGAGCUGUGAGCAGUGCCACAGGAGGAGAUGACUGGUGAGUGAAAUAAGCAAGAUAGGAGUUGAAGUGUACAUGAAGCAGAGUCCAAGCCUUCUCCUUCUGGAUGUUCAGCUGGAUCAUCCUGACUGCUCCCACUUUCAUCUUGGCUUUCAAAGGCAAGAGGAAAUUAUAAGGAAUAUUCUGAGUGGCUUUCAUCCAGGAGUUCUGUGGGACCCGCAACACCUGGAUGGUAGAUGCAAACAGAUAAAGAAUAUUGGUCACCAAAAGGAGUUCUUUUCAUCAUAGAUCUCUGAAGGUAGACACCUAUUUGCAGACUUCUCAAAGGGCUAUAUGGAUGUGCUCUACUUGUUGGAGGAUUGUCCAUCCACUCUUCUUCCUGUACUUACCAGGACAGAACAGCCGCAACUUCUCAGACAGUUCAUUCUUCUUUUCCUCACCUACUACCAUCUAAGAAAGGUACUUGAUGACUGUGGCUUUAGACAAGAGUCCUUUUCUUACCACAGGGUGGGCAGCACCAGCUCAUUAGAACCAUUUGUGUGACUGACUGAAGACAGCUCACCUUGGAACACUGCAGGUUGAAGAUCAUCUCUUCUUUUUUUCAUGGUGUUAAGCAUAAUAUGGCGUAAGUGACAUUUUACAAGUUCCAGAGCCUGGGACUCAAGAUGUCUUGGAGAUUCUGUCUUUGCAGUCUUAUAAUGAUGCCCUGAGAUCAUCAUUAAAGAAAGCCAGUCUGGCCUACUGAGGAUGAGAAGCUACAUAAAGGAGAAUGAAGAUUCCCCAGCCAACAGGCAAUAUCAGUGGUCAGAUAUGUGAAUAAAGCCAUGUUGAACCUCUCGGCUAGACGACCCUCCAGCAUAUGAAACCAGCAGAUGAAUAUCCCAGCCUGCCUGAAGAACUGUACAGGAAAUAAGAAAUCAUUGUUUUUUAAGCCACUGGGUUGGUGGGUGGUUUGUUACAUUGAAAUUGUUAACUAAAACAGAAAUUGGUGCAUAGAGGUCAGGUGCUGUCAUAAUAAAAAUCUAAAACAUAUACUGUUGGCUUUGGUGAUGGGAGUGAUUGGUAGCUAAAGAGGCAGUGAAACAAUGAUUAGUAGAUACUGGGAAGUUAAUAAGGAAAUUUCUAUUGGAGGGUGGAGAAAGGGCCACCCUUGUUAUAUAGUGGCCAAAGAAUCAGCAAAAUGUUGCCUGCUGCAACCUGGAAAGUAGAAACUUUUCUUAAACUCACGGAUCUGGCUGGGAGAUUUCCAGGAUGCAUGCAACAAAUGUGAAUCAACUUUGUAUAGCUGUGUAUAAUAAAGUGUGCUGUAUUUGUCCAUUCUGAUGCUGCUAAUAAAGACAUACCUGAGACUGAAUAAUUUAUAAAGGAAA